rnacentral:rRNA from 1 species
UACGUAGGGACCAAGCGUUGUUCGGAUUUACUGGGCGUAAAGGGCGCGUAGGCGGCGUGUUAAGUCAGCUGUGAAAUCUCCAAGCUUAACUUGGAACGGUCAGCUGAUACUGAUGUGCUAGAGUGCAGAAGGGGCAACCGGAAUUCUUGGUGUAGCGGCGAAAUGCGUAGAUAUCCGGAGGAACACCAGUGGCGAAGGCGGCUUCCUGGCCUGUUCUUGACGCUGAGGCGCGAAAGCUAGGGGAGCAAACGGG